UACGGGGGGGGCAAGCGUUGUUCGGAAUUACUGGACGUAAAGGGUUUGUAGGCGGCUUGUUAAGUCAGACGUGAAAUCCCUCAGCUUAACUGGGGAACUGCGUCUGAUACUGGCGAGCUUGAGUGCAGGAGAGGAACGCGGAAUUCCAGGUGUAGCGGUGAAAUGCGUAGAUAUCUGGAGGAACACCGGUGGCGAAGGCGGCGUUCUGGACUGCAACUGACACUGAGAAACGAAAGCCAGGGUAGCAAACGGG
rnacentral:rRNA from 1 species